rnacentral:rRNA from 1 species
AACGAACGCUGGCGGCAUGCCUAACACAUGCAAGUCGAACGAGACCUUCGGGUCUAGUGGCGCACGGGUGCGUAACGCGUGGGAACCUGCCCGUAGGUUCGGAAUAACUCCCCGAAAGGGGUGCUAAUACCGGGUAAUGUCUUCGGACCAAAGAUUUAUCGCCUUUGGCUGGGCCCGCGUUGGUUUAGCUAGUUGGUAGGGUAAAAGCCUACCAAGGCGGCGAUCCAUAGCUGGUCUGAGAGGAUGAUCAGCCACACUGGGACUGAGACACGGCCCAGACUCCUACGGGAGGCAGCAGUGGGGAAUAUUGGACAAUGGGCGAAAGCCUGAUCCAGCAAUGCCGCGUGAGUGAUGAAGGCCUUAGGGUUGUAAAGCUCUUUUACCCGGGAUGAUAAUGACAGUACCGGGAGAAUAAGCUCCGGCUAACUCCGUG